rnacentral:rRNA from 1 species
CCUACGGGUGGCAGCAGUGAGGAAUAUUGGUCAAUGGACGCAAGUCUGAACCAGCCAUGCCGCGUGCAGGAAGACGGCUCUAUGAGUUGUAAACUGCUUUUGUACGAGGGUAAACGCAGAUACGCGUAUCUGUCUGAAAGUAUCGUACGAAUAAGGAUCGGCUAACUCCGUGCCAGCAGCCGCGGUAAUACGGAGGAUUCAAGCGUUAUCCGUAUUUAUUGGGUUUAAAGGGUGCGCCGGCGGUCUGUUAAGUCCGCGGUAAAAGCCCGGGGCUCAACCCCGGCCCGCCGUUGAAACUGGCAGUCUCGAGUUGGAGAGAAGUAUGCGGAAUGCGUGGUGUAGCGGUGAAAUGCAUAGAUAUCACGCAGAACUCCGAUUGCGAAGGCAGCAUACCGGCGCUCAACUGACGCUCAUGCACGAAAGUGUGGGUAUCGAACAGGAUUAGAUACCCUAGUAGUC